ensembl:lncRNA
CACGAAUAAGCGGUUUUAAACCGGUGCCAUAUUACCGUAGCACGCUACCGUUACCUACUUUCUACCGUUUAGCGAUAGCGCGCUGGUGUACCGCUACUGCUUAGCUAAGUUAGCGUUAGCUAACAUACUUAAGACAGCUAAUUUAAAGAAAACCCAACGUUUUGAUUUGUGCGCAUGUAGACGCGUUGUUUUGUCACCUCGUUUAUAGGUCACACGUCAACAUUAACUUUCAAAAUCACUGUUCAAUGUGUUUGUUGUUCUUCUUCAUCGUAACGGUAAGUUACUACAAAUAAAUUCAACUUGGGUCCUGUUGACUUAACGUUAAGUUUUACUGACAGUGUUGUUUUCCAAUAUUUAACGUUACUGUACCCUCAGUGUUAGUGUAACAGGUUAACGGCACCACAAACCUUCUUAUUUUCUCUUUACAACGGUAAAUGCCGGUUUGAAUCUGUGUAUAACUCUCCUACCUCCCCCCCCCCCCCCCCAGAGCCUCCUCUUUACCUGUCGUGAGACAGAGAGCAGCCUGUCCUUCAGGGGACAGAUGGAGCAGUCCAGCAGCAGGUUGUACUCUGGUCCUCUGUCCCAGGCGGCCCAGAAGGUCCUGGCUGUUCUCCGGGCCCAGAGUCUACAUGCAGCCAGACGCAACCGCCACUACGCCCAGCAUCACAGGCAAAACCCUCUUGGUCCAGUCUCCAGGCGUCCUCCUUUCCCACCUCUCACCGUGACGCCUCCAGCCAGCAGCAGGGAUCUCAGUGUUAUCAGCACACGCAGACACCCGGCCGCCCCGCGUCAUCCCAGGACGCCUCCCGUUUGUCCCCCUGCUGGGAAUCCUCGCUCCAGAGGCAGACGUUGCAUAGGGGCUCACAGAUUCAAUCCCACAAAAAGCGCUCCGAACCCCCUGCCUGCCUGUCAAGCCAGGCUCCGUCAUUCACUCAGCACGAAGAGGUGACACCAUCUUUGUCCUGUAGAAAUGCACGGACCUCCUCGCCUCUCCAAAUAAAACCGAGAGUUUAUGAGCGUCAAGUUGCACCGUGGAGAAACUCAACUGAGGAAAUCAGGCUGCCUUUCCUCUACAAUCCUCCAGACGAAGAGGAUCCUGAUGAGGUUUUGUUCCCCACAACAGUGCACCCUAAUGCCUAUGAAGAGGGGCGUGCAUUGGAUUGUUCCGGAGUUUCUUACUUCGAAGCAAGUGUAGUGACCUAUGGUGACACGUCACAUGCACAGAAUGAAAACAUUCAUUCGGAUAGCUGGAAUGUUCCCAGAAAGAAGCUAGCCACCACUGUAGCUGUGGACAGCCUCGCAAAGUGGAACCUACCACUAUGCAACCGUACUGAAGAGGCCAUUAGUGGAGGAGAAGAUGGAGGCAUAUUUUAUCAACAGGCAGAGGAGCAGAUGGUGGAUUCGGAAAAUGUGUCCGGCACAGAGCAUCAAAUGCAGGAUGGAGUAAUGUGUGAAGAGACGAGAUACCUGGCGGCACCAGUGCCCUUUGAGAAAGGAUCAGCCGAUGAAAUGGAGCGACUUCUUCUUUCGGGCACCAAUGAGAACACUAGUUUAGAGACGAGUUUGAAUUUAAUCUGGACCAAAAGCUUCUGCUCUGAGGUUGCAAUGUCUGGACAGAAGGAAGAUGUUGACUUUGAGAACAGAAUUAAUACAUGUGAACCUCUACCUUGCAUCGAGGAUAAAGAGAUGUACUGUACUGGCAGCCCCAAACAGAUCUUAGUACCUUUAGAAAGGAGAGAACACAAGGUGAGCCACUGCCGAGCUCGUUACCCUCAGGACGUGAGUCCGUCUGUAACUGAAAGAGCAGAGGAGCUCCCCACAGAAAACCCACUGAUGUGCAGCGACCCCACCAAAGUAGUCCCGGGUGACACCACUGCUGACGACCUGCAGAGAACCGCAGAGGAAAGAAUAGAUGUGAGCGAGGUCAAUCUGGAAGGGCAGAGGGAGGGCAGGGCAGGCAGCGACGCAAGCACAGGAGAUAAGGUGGAGACAGACAAGCCACAUUGUUGUGAUGUCCAAACAAGAGAAAGCUGGAGUAAAAGAGUUUAUAGAGAGCUCACUGUGUCAGCUGGAGGAGACAUCGAGCCAGAAGGGAGCGGGGCACACCGAAAUGAGUCCGGGAUGUUCCCUGUGGACGGCGAAAACGGGCGCACAGCUACAGGUAAGUGCAUGAUUAUCACUGCUUUUUACCCCCAUUAG